UACGAAGGGGGCUAGCGUUGCUCGGAAUCACUGGGCGUAAAGCGCACGUAGGCGGCUUGUUAAGUCAGGGGUGAAAUCCUGGAGCUCAACUCCAGAACUGCCUUUGAUACUGGCAAGCUUGGAGUCCGGGAGAGGUGAGUGGAACUGCGAGUGUAGAGGUGAAAUUCGUAGAUAUUCGCAAGAACACCAGUGGCGAAGGCGGCUCACUGGCCCGUAACUGACGCUGAGGCACGAAAGCGUGGGGAGCAAACAGG
rnacentral:rRNA from 1 species